GCACACCAUGACAAUUACUUUUAGAGGCAUAAAAUUGGCACACCAUGGCAAACAGCUUUAGAGGCAAACAAUUGGCAAACUAUAGCAAUCCGCUUUAGAUGCAUACAAUUGGCACACCGUGGUAUCCGCUUUAUAUGCAUACAAUUGGCACACCGUGGAAAUCCGCUUUAGAUGCAUACAAUUGGCAUACCAUGGCAAUCAGUUUUAGAGGCACAAAAUUGGUACACCAUGGCAAUCAGCUUUAGAUGCAUAAAAUUGGC